rnacentral:rRNA from 1 species
CCUACGGGCGGCUGCAGUGGGGAAUAUUGCACAAUGGGCGCAAGCCUGAUGCAGCCAUGCCGCGUGUGUGAAGAAGGCCUUCGGGUUGUAAAGCACUUUCAGCGGGGAGGAAGGCGGUGAGGUUAAUAACCUCAUCGAUUGACGUUACCCGCAGAAGAAGCACCGGCUAACUCCGUGCCAGCAGCCGCGGUAAUACGGAGGGUGCAAGCGUUAAUCGGAAUUACUGGGCGUAAAGCGCACGCAGGCGGUCUGUCAAGUCGGAUGUGAAAUCCCCGGGCUCAACCUGGGAACUGCAUUCGAAACUGGCAGGCUAGAGUCUUGUAGAGGGGGGUAGAAUUCCAGGUGUAGCGGUGAAAUGCGUAGAGAUCUGGAGGAAUACCGGUGGCAAAGGCGGCCCCCUGGACAAAGACUGACGCUCAGGUGCGAAAGCGUGGGGAGCAAACAGGAUUAGAUACCCGGGUAGUC